rfam:Schistosoma haematobium scaffold1871_10, whole genome shotgun sequence.
AUUCAACUGACGAGUUCCAAACAGAACGAAAUAAGAAUCCCAAAU